GUCAAAUCAUCAUGCCCCUUAUGUCCUGGGCUACACACGUACUACAAUGGCCGGUACAAAGGGCAGCGAAGGGGUGACCCGGAGCAAAUCCCAUCAAAGCCGGUCCCAGUUCGGAUUGUAGUCUGCAACUCGACUACAUGAAGUCGGAAUCGCUAGUAAUCGCAGGUCAGCAUACUGCGGUGAAUACGUUCCCGGGCCUU
rnacentral:rRNA from 1 species